rnacentral:rRNA from 1 species
GACGAACGCUGGCGGCGUGCUUAACACAUGCAAGUCGAGCGGUAAGGCUCCUUCGGGAGUACACGAGCGGCGAACGGGUGAGUAACACGUGAGCAACCUGCCCUUCUCAUCGGAAUAAGCGUUGGAAACGACGUCUAAUGCCGAAUAUGACAACGGAUCGCAUGAUCUGUUGUGGAAAGCUCCGGCGGAGAAGGAUGGGCUCGCGGCCUAUCAGCUUGUUGGUGGGGUAACGGCCCACCAAGGCGACGACGGGUAGCUGGCCUGAGAGGGUGACCGGCCACACUGGGACUGAGACACGGCCCAGGCUCCUACGGGAGGCAGCAGUGGGGAAUAUUGGACAAUGGGCGCAAGCCUGAUCCAGCAACGCCGCGUGAGGGAUGACGGCCUUCGGGUUGUAAACCUCUUUCAGCAGGGACGAAGCAAAAGUGACGGUACCUGCAGAAGAAGGACCGGCCAACUACGUGCCAGCAGCCGCAGUAAUAC